GCAAGUAUGGCCGAGGGGUCUAAGGCGGUAGAUUUAAGCUCUACUAUCGAAAGAUGGUAAUUAUUUAUCUCCACUUGGACGUGUGACAUACUAAUGAGGGCUAGCGAGAGUUCGAAUCUCUCUGCUUGCA